AUGAACGCUGGCGGCGUGCCUAAUACAUGCAAGUCGAGCGAACAGACGAGGAGCUUGCUCCUCUGACGUUAGCGGCGGACGGGUGAGUAACACGUGGAUAACCUACCUAUAAGACUGGGAUAACUUCGGGAAACCGGAGCUAAUACCGGAUAAUAUAUUUAACCGCAUGGUUCAAUAGUGAAAGACGGUUUUGCUGUCACUUAUAGAUGGAUCCGCGCCGCAUUAGCUAGUUGGUAAGGUAACGGCUUACCAAGGCAACGAUGCGUAGCCGACCUGAGAGGGUGAUCGGCCACACUGGAACUGAGACACGGUCCAGACUCCUACGGGAGGCAGCAGUAGGGAAUCUUCCGCAAUGGUCGAAAGCUUGACGGAGCAACGCCGCGUGAGUGAUGAAGGUCUUCGGAUCGUAAAACUCUGUUAUUAGGGAAGAACAAAUGUGUAAGUAACUAUGCACGUCUUGACGGUACCUAAUCAGAAAGCCACGGCUAACUACGUG
rnacentral:rRNA from 1 species